UGGGGAAUCUUAGACAAUGGGCGCAAGCCUGAUCUAGCCAUGCCGCGUGGGUGAUGAAGGCCUUAGGGUCGUAAAGCCCUUUCGCCGGGGAAGAUAAUGACGGUACCCGGUAAAGAAACCCCGGCUAACUCCGUGCCAGCAGCCGCGGUAAUACGGAGGGGGUUAGCGUUGUUCGGAAUGACUGGGCGUAAAGCGCGCGUAGGCGGGCUGGAAAGUUGGGGGUGAAAUCCCGGGGCUCAACCCCGGAAUGGCCUUCAAAACUCCCAGCCUAGAGUUCGAGAGAGGUGAGUGGAAUUCCGAGUGUAGAGGUGAAAUUCGUAGAUAUUCGGAGGAACACCAGUGGCGAAGGCGGCUCACUGGCUCGACACUGACGCUGAGGUGCGAAAGCGUGGGGAGCAAACAGG
rnacentral:rRNA from 1 species